rnacentral:lncRNA from 10 species
UAGAGACGGGGUUUCAUCAUGUUAGCCAGGUUGGUCUCAAACUCUUGACCUCAACUGAUCUGGUGCCUCGGCCUCCCAAAGUGCUGGGAUUACAGACAUGAGCCAUCGCGCCUGGCCACCAGGUGCUGGUUUCUGCUGCAGACACAGGCUCUCCAGGCAGCCCUGUGCUCUUUGCAGCUAUUCCUGGAAGCCUUGGGACGUCUCACCGAUGCCCUCCAUGUUCGGUUCUGCACACCUGCCCUUCUACGAGUCUCUUCUCUCAACGCCUCCUUACCCGGUUGCUGUCCAUAUUGCAGAAGAGGGCAGGGCCCAGGGAGCUGAAUCCCGGCAAGUCCACGCUGCUGAGCUCCCAAGACCUUCAGUAAAGUAGGAUUGUCUCUUUCACACCUAGCCCUGCAUCCACCGCCAUCGACCCAGGGUAAGGACCAGCACAUGAAGGCCAAACUCCUUCCCUCGUUUCCCUUUACACCCAUGUCUGCCUGUGAGAAGCCCUGGCUCAUUCUCCUUCAGCCACAGGCCUCAGGAAGUCUCCUCCCUAGCGGUUGUCUCAGGCACUCUGGGUUCCAGCAUGGCCUACGUGAAGCCUUCCUUAAAAGUGACAGCGCAGGACGUCCCCACUCAGGAAGCUCACACUCACGACUGUGCCUCUUCCUACACUCAGUAGAGUAAACUGUUUACAGUAGAUGCUGACCAAGUGUUAGGUGAGAGUGGUGACGAUGAGUGUGGAAAUCUGCCUUAAUUUUAUGAGUUACCAACCUGUCAUUGACUUCAUGUUCAUUCUGGCAAGAGCUAAGAGAGAUACUAUUGAGUAUUUUAACACAGACUUCACUUGCUUGGGUGAACUGUAGACAGAAUCCAUCUUUAAUGACCUAUUUCUGUUACUGAACUGAACUGGUGUCUGCUCUCCUGUGGGGUGAGGCCAAACAUCCACACCGUGGUUUGCAGCAGGGGAAAGCAAGGUGUUUAUUUGCAGGAUGCCAAGGAAAGAGAAUUGGGCAGCUUACAAUUGAGACCUGACCUCUCGGUGGCUUACAGGUUCUCUCUGCAGCUCUAGCACCUGGCAUCCUCAGACAUCUUCUUAAUACUCACGCAAGUUCUACAGAUGAGAAAAUGAGGCUUCAAAAGAUGAAGACCACACGAUGACUGAAUGGAUGGUGCUGAGUUAUAAUAGCAGUAUCUGUCAUGUAUGGGUUGCUUCCUAUGGGAUAAGCACAAUGAUGCCAUUUCAUUUUAUCCACUCAAUGGCAUACACUGGGAUAGCAUAACAAUAGAACACAUGGGACUCUGAAUUCUGCAGGCUAGGUUUAAUUCUGUUUCUGCUACAUAAUAGCAAAAGAGUUCAUCUUGAUUCUGCUACAUAAUAGCAAAACAGUUCAUCUUGAUUCUGCUACAUAAUAGCAAAACAGUUCAUCUUGCUUUAAGUCAUAAGUCACGGCUCCGAAAAGGACACCCCAAGUAUGGCCUUGACCUGCUGAGGACUUUGAACUAAAGGGCAUUGGAAAGCCUCAGAAGCAGCCUCAGAACCAAGUCUCUGACCUUCUCCUGCCCUCCUGUCUCUCGCCCCUCAUUCCCCCAAGAAGUGAGUCAUAGAAACCAGAAAUCCUCUUCCCUAAAGCAGGUCACGGAAACUAGAAUCUCUUUCCCCAAAGCCAGCCAUUAGAAACUAGAAUCACUACUGGAACUUUCCCUGCCUUUCUGAGUAAGAGCUGGCCAUAAAGAAGUUCUCUGACUUACUUUCCUGAAAGUAGGUUAUAAGACCCUCAUUCCAGAAGGGGCCCUGCCCUACACGCAGGAAGAAGGAACGCCACACAGGGAGGCCAAGAGGAACCCAGACAGGCCCAGCUGGGUCCCCCUCUGUCUGUCACUGUCCCAUCGCUCCCUCUGUGUCCAGUCACAGCUCCGCAGGGCUACCACUCUUCAUCAAAUCUAAGCAUAGAAAUGGGCAGUUUUCCCUUGGUUCUUUGGGUCUUCAUUUCCUAAGGCUCCCAUGUUAUGUAAAACUUUGAUUAAACAAAUCUGUGUGCUUUUCUCUUGUUAACCUGUCUUUUGUUACAGGAGAAUCGGCAGUGGCCCCUUAGCAUGGUGGCACACGUCUGUAAUCCCAGGUACUUGGGAGGCUGAGGCACGAGAAUCACUAGAACCUAGAAGGAGGAUGUUGCAGUGAGCUGAGAUUGCACCACUGCACUCCAGCCUGGGCAACAGAGCAAGACUCCCAUCUCAAAAAAAAAAUUAAAUUAAAUAAAAAUUAAAAAAAAUUAAAAC